rnacentral:rRNA from 1 species
UACGUAGGGCGCAAGCGUUGUCCGGAAUUAUUGGGCGUAAAGCGGAUGUAGGUGGCUUUGUAAGUCAGGUGUGAAAGCCUAGGGCUCAACCCUAGAAGUGCAUCUGAUACUGCGAAGCUUGAGUGUGGGAGAGGAUAGUAGAAUUCCUGGUGUAGUGGUGAAAUACGUAGAUAUCAGGAGGAAUACCGGAGGCGAAGGCAGCUCGCUGGGACGGUACUGACGCUGAGACGCGAAAGCGUGGGGAGCAAACAGG